rnacentral:lncRNA from 1 species
GCUUCAUGUAGUCUAGAAAGUAACAAAAUCAUAAGAGCAGCAAGUGCGGUGAUAAAGGGUUAUCAUGCUUACAGAGGAAGACACUAAUGAUCUCUGGUAUCCCAUUGAUUUAAAAACAAAAAAAAAAACCACCUUAGAACAACCUCUUCCACUAGGAAGGAAUUCUGUAUAUAAAUCAUGUAUUUACAUACAGUAAGUCAAGUCUUAACAUCAGUUCUAAAUCUCACCCACAAUUGAAGCACCUGAUUCAUAAAUUGUCUUGGAAGGCUGCUUCCUGGGUACACAGGUACACCUUUAGGAACACCAUUCUGACUUAUCUCAAAGUCAUGUCAUUGCUCCUAUUUCUUAAACAGGUAACAGAAAAGAGUUACCUUUUUCUUUUUUUUUUCAAAUAACUAAGGGUUUAUAUAUCUCACUGAUGUAAGUCUUAAAAUACCCUAGUAUAACUGAACAUAAGGCUGUUUGUCCUGACAUUAAAUAUGAUGGGACUCCUGUGCUUUCUGUAGCUAACUUGGCAAGGCCUUCAAAACCAGAUCACAGAGCUUCUUAGUAAGAUGUAAUAAUAAAGAACCUGAGACAAAGGGACAAAAGCAGCUCACCUUUAAGUAAAACCAACAGGCUGAGUGCACAAGCUAAAGGAAACUAGCAGAGACAUGGACUAUAUCAUGGAUGGGUGAGAAUGCUAAAAAGCGAGAUUUCAAACAGC